rnacentral:rRNA from 1 species
CAAUGAUUUUUUAAAUUGCUGUGGUAUUUUGACUAUACGAAGGUAUUGAAAUAAGGCUUUAAAUGGGUGCUAAGAGAAUGGUUUAACAAUUAUUUUCUUUCUUUAAGUAAAAAAUAGAAUUUUAUUUUUUUGUGAAGAAUCAAAAAUAAAUAUUAGGGACAAGAAGACCCUAUGAAUUUUUAUCAAGUAUAUUAUUAUAAAAAUAAUUUACUUGAUUUGGUUGGGGUGACAAAUAAAGAUUAGGUAUCUUUGUUUAUGAGAAAAAUGAUGUUCCAUUAAUAUUGAUUAUAAAAGUAAAAUACUCUAGGGAUAACAGCGUAAUAAUUUUAGAUAGUUCAUAUAGAAAAAAUAGUUUGCGACCUCGAUGUUGGAUUAGGAUUCUUUUUUAAUGCAGAAGUAAAAAAAGAAGUUUGU